rnacentral:rRNA from 1 species
GGGCCCGCACAAGCAGUGGAGUAUGUGGUUUAAUUCGACGCAACGCGAAGAACCUUACCAGAACUUGACAUCCAACUAACGAAGCAGAGAUGCAUUAGGUGCCCUUCGGGGAAAGUUGAGACAGGUGGUGCAUGGUUGUCGUCAGCUCGUGUCGUGAGAUGUUGGGUUAAGUCCCGCAACGAGCGCAACCCUUAUUGUUAGUUGCUACGAAAGAGCACUCUAGCGAGACUGCCGUUGACAAAACGGAGGAAGGUGGGGACGACGUCAAAUCAUCAUGCCCCUUAUGUUCUGGGCUACACACGUACUACAAUGGCGGUCAUACAGAGGGGUGCAAAGCAGUGAUGCAGAGCAAAUCCCUAAAAGCCGCCUCAGUUCGGAUUGCAGGCUGAAACUCGCCUGCAUGAAGUCGGAAUUGCUAGUAAUCGCGGAUCAGCAUGCCGCGGUGAAUACGUUCCCGGGCCUU